rnacentral:rRNA from 1 species
AUUGAACGCUAGCGGGAUGCUUUACACAUGCAAGUCGAACGGAGUGGCGGACGGGUGAGUAAUAUAUCGGAACGUGCCCAGUAUCGGGGGAUAACUACUCGAACGAGUGGCUAAUACCGCAUAAUGUUGGAGCGGCCGAUAUGGGAUUAGCGAGUUGGUGGGGUAAAGGCUCACCAAGGCGAAGAUCCCUAGCUGGUUUGAGAGGCGGACCAGCCACAUUGGGAAUGGGACACGGCCCAGACUCCUACGGGAGGCAGCAGUGGGGAAUUUUGGACAAUGGGGGAAACCCUGAUCCAGCCAUCCCGCGUGUAGGAAGAAGGCCUUCGGGUUGUAAAGUACUUGUGGCAGAGAAGCGGUAUCUGCAGAAUAAGCACCGGCUAACUACGUGCCAGCCGCCGCGGUAAUAC